GUAGCAAUACACCGCUGGCGACCGGCGCACGGGUGAGUAACACGUAUCCAACCUGCCCUUUACUCGGGGAUAGCCUUUCGAAAGAAAGAUUAAUACCCGAUGGUAUAACAUGACCUCCUGGUUUUGUUAUUAAAGAAUUUCGGUAGAGGAUGGGGAUGCGUUCCAUUAGGCAGUUGGCGGGGUAACGGCCCACCAAACCUUCGAUGGAUAGGGGUUCUGAGAGGAAGGUCCCCCACAUUGGAACUGAGACACGGUCCAAACUCCUACGGGAGGCAGCAGUGAGGAAUAUUGGUCAAUGGGCGAGAGCCUGAACCAGCCAAGUAGCGUGAAGGAUGACCGCCCUAUGGGUUGUAAACUUCUUUUAUAUGGGAAUAAAGUUUGCCACGUGUGGCAUUUUGUAUGUACCAUAUGAAUAAGGAUCGGCUAACUCCGUGCCAGCAGCCGCGGUAAUACGGAGGAUCCGAGCGUUAUCCGGAUUUAUUGGGUUUAAAGGGAGCGUAGGUGGACAUGUAAGUCAGUUGUGAAAGUUUGCGGCUCAACCGUAAAAUUGCAGUUGAUACUGCGUGUCUUGAGUACAGUAGAGGUGGGCGGAAUUCGUGGUGUAGCGGUGAAAUGCUUAGAUAUCACGAAGAACUCCGAUUGCG
rnacentral:rRNA from 1 species